AGUACCGUGAGGGAAAGGUGAAAAGAACCCCGGGAGGGGAGUGAAAGAGAACCUGAAACCCUGCACUUACAAGCUGUGGGAGCACAUUACUUGUGUGACCGCGUACUUUUUGUAGAACGGGCCAACGAGUUACGUUAAGUAGCAAGGUUAAGCACUUAAGGUGUGGAGCCGUAGCGAAAGCGAGUCUUAAAUGGGCGAUUAAGUUACUUGGCGUAGACCCGAAACCGGGCGACCUAUCCAUGAGCAGGUUGAAGCGAAAGUAAAAUUUCGUGGAGGACCGAACCCACGAGCGUUGAAAAGCUCGGGGAUGACUUGUGGAUAGCGGUGAAAUUCCAAUCGAGCCCGGAGAUAGCUGGUUCUCCCCGAAAUAGCUUUAGGGCUAGCCUCAAGCGUAGAGAAACGGAGGUAGAGCACUGAAUGUCCUAGGGGGUAUUGCACUUACCGAAGACUAUCAAACUCCGAAUGCCGUAUUCUUUUGCUUGGGAGUCAGACUAUGGGUGAUAAGAUUCAUAGUCAAAAGGGCAACAGCCCAGAUCGUCAGCUAAGGUCCCUAAAUGUACGUUAAGUGGUAAAGGAUGUGGGAUUGCACAGACAACCAGGAUGUUGGCUUAGAAGCAGCCACUCAUUUAAAGAGUGCGUAAUAGCUCACUGGUCGAGUGAUCCUGCGCCGAAAAUUUCCGGGGCUAAAACGUACUACCGAAGCUACGGCAUCAUUUAUGAUGGGUAGGGGAGCUUCGUAUGCAGGCUGAAGCAUGACCGUAAGGACAUGUGGACAGUAUACGAGUGAGAAUGUUGGCAUGAGUAGCGAGAUGUGGGUGAGAAUCCCACAGGCCGUAAACCCAAGGUUUCCAGGGGAAGGUUCGUCCGCCCUGGGUUAGUCAGGACCUAAGCCGAGGCCGAAAGGCGUAGGUGAUGGACAACAGGUUGAUAUUCCUGUACCACCAAUAACCGUUUGAGAAAUGGGAUGACACAGUAGGAUAAGCUAACCGCACUGUUGGUUAUGUGCGGGCAAGUAUUGAGGCAGUUCCGAUAGGCAAAUCCGUCGGAAUAAUGCUGGGGUACGAUGCGGAGCGAAAUUUAGUAGCGAAGUAGCUGAUUUCACACUGUCGAGAAAAGUCUCUAUCGAGGUUAAAGGUGCCUGUACCGCAAACCGACACAGGUGGGUGAGGAGAGUAUCCUAAGGCCAGCGAGAGAACUGUUGUUAAGGAACUCGGCAAAAUGACCCCGUAACUUAGGGAGAAGGGGUGCCUUCGAAAGAAGGCCGCAGAGAAUAGGCCCAAGCGACUGUUUACCAAAAACAUAGGUUUCUGCUAAGUCGCAAGACGAUGUAUAGGAGCUGACGCCUGCCCGGUGCUGGAAGGUUAAGGGGAUCUGUUAGAGCAAUCGAAGCAGUGAACUUAAGCCCCAGUAAACGGCGGCCGUAACUAUAACGGUCCUAAGGUAGCGAAAUUCCUUGUCGGGUAAGUUCCGACCCGCACGAAAGGCGUAACGAUUUGGGCACUGUCUCAACAACAGACUCGGUGAAAUUGUAAUACCGGUGAAGAUGCCGGUUACCUGCGACAGGACGGAAAGACCCCAUGGAGCUUUACUGUAGCUUGACAUUGAGUCUCGGUGCUACAUGUACAGGAUAGGUGGGAGACUAUGAAGCAUGGACGUCAGUCUGUGUGGAGUCAUCCUUGGGAUACCACCCUUGUAGUACUGGGAUUCUAACCAGAGGCCAUGAAUCUGGUCUUGGGACACUGUCAGGUGGACAGUUUGACUGGGGCGGUCGCCUCCCAAAAAGUAACGGAGGCGCUCAAAGGUUCUCUCAGUACGGUCGGAAAUCGUACGAAGAGUGUAAAGGCAAAAGAGAGCUUGAUUGCAAGACAUACAGGUCGAGCAAGGACGAAAGUCGGACUUAGUGAUCCGGUGGUACCGCAUGGAAGGGCCAUCGCUCAACGGAUAAAAGCUACCCUGGGGAUAACAGGCUUAUCUCCCCCAAGAGUCCACAUCGACGGGGAGGUUUGGCACCUCGAUGUCGGCUCA
rnacentral:rRNA from 1 species